AUCGGCUGGGCUCAGUCACCUGCCUAACCCUGGAGUCACAGGGAGAGUUAACAUACUGACAGCAGUGGAAGGGUUGCAUUGGACAAGACCUGGAACUCCGUCAGGUGCCGCAUGUCAGCAUAGUAAUGGUGCCACCUCUUACUGGAGCUUAAAUCACUGGACCUUCCCACCUCCACAAUCAAGGACAGAGGAUGCUGGUGUACGCUCCCAAGCCCACCUUAGUGUCUGAAUAAAACCCUCCUCUGCGCUCCUCUCUACA